CCUACGGGUGGCAGCAGUGGGGAAUAUUGCACAAUGGGGGAAACCCUGAUGCAGCGACGCCGCGUGAGUGAAGAAGUAUUUCGGUAUGUAAAGCUCUAUCAGCAGGAACGAGACAAGACGGUACCUGACUAAGAAGCCCCGGCUAACUACGUGCCAGCAGCCGCGGUAAUACGUAGGGGGCAAGCGUUAUCCGGAAUCACUGGGUGGAAAGGGAGCGUAGACGGCUGUGCAAGCCUGAAGUGAAAGGCGGGGGCCCAACCCCUGGACUGCUUUGGGAACUGUACGGCUGGAGUGCAGGAGAGGUAAGUGGAAUUCCUAGUGUAGCGGUGAAAUGCGUAGAUAUUAGGAGGAACACCAGUGGCGAAGGCGGCUUACUGGACUGUAACUGACGUUGAGGCUCGAAAGCGUGGGGAGCAAACAGGAUUAGAUACCCCUGUAGUC
rnacentral:rRNA from 1 species